CCUACGGGAGGCAGCAGUGAGGAAUAUUGGACAAUGGAGGCAACUCUGAUCCAGCCAUGCCGCGUGCAGGAAGACUGCCCUAUGGGUUGUAAACUGCUUUUAUAUAGGAAGAAACCUUGGUACGUGUACCAAGCUGACGGUACUAUAAGAAUAAGGAUCGGCUAACUCCGUGCCAGCAGCCGCGGUAAUACGGAGGAUCCAAGCGUUAUCCGGAAUCAUUGGGUUUAAAGGGUCCGUAGGUGGAUAAUUAAGUCAGAGGUGAAAGUUUGCGGCUCAACCGUAAAAUUGCCUUUGAUACUGGUUAUCUUGAAUCAUUGUGAAGUGGUUAGAAUAUGUAGUGUAGCGGUGAAAUGCAUAGAUAUUACAUAGAAUACCAAUUGCGAAGGCAGAUCACUAACAAUGUAUUGACACUGAUGGACGAAAGCGUGGGGAGCGAACGGGAUUAGAUACCCCGGUAGUCCACGCCGUAAACGAUGGUCACUAGCUGUUCGGACUUCGGUCUGAGUGGCUAAGCGAAAGUGAUAAGUGACCCACCUGGGGAGUACGUUCGCAAGAAUGAAACUCAAAGGAAUUGACGGA
rnacentral:rRNA from 1 species